GCCGGUGGUUCUCGCGAGGGGGAUACACCUGGUCCCAUCCCGAACCCAGCAGUUAAGCCCCUCAGCGCCGAUGGUACUGCAGCCUCAGGCCGGGGGAGAGUAGGUCACCGCCGGCU
rnacentral:rRNA from 1 species